GUUAUAUGGUCAAGCGAAUAAGCGCACACGGUGGAUGCCUUGGCGGUCAGAGGCGAUGAAGGACGUGGCAGCCUGCGAAAAGUAUCGGGGAGCUGGCAACAAGCUUUGAUCCGGUAAUGUCCGAAUGGGGAAACCCACCCGCUUGCGGGUAUCCUGCAGUGAAUACAUAGCUGCUGGAAGCGAACCUGGUGAACUGAAAUAUCUAAGUAACCAGAGGAAAAGAAAUCAACCGAGAUUCCGUAAGUAGCGACGAGCGAACGCGGACUAGCCCUUAAGCUGAUUUGGUUCUAGGAAAACACUCUGGAAAGAGUGGCCAUAGAAGGUGAUAGCCCUGUAUCUGAAAGGGCCAUUUCAGUGAAGACGAGUAGGGCGGGGCACGUGAAACCCUGUCUGAACAUGGGGGGACCAUCCUCCAAGGCUAAAUACUACUGACCGACCGAUAGUGAACCAGUACCGUGAGGGAAAGGCG
rnacentral:rRNA from 1 species